GGCUGAAUAGCAUAGGGGUAAUGCACCGGAUUGCAAAUCCGAGUACCUCAGUUCGAUUCUGAGUUCAGCCUCCA
rnacentral:tRNA from 3 species